CGCAGCUCCAGUCGGCGGCGGCGGCGGCGGCGGAGGCAGCAGGCGGCUCCGGCGCAACUUUUACCGGAACCACGUGAGGAGAGUGAUGGAGAGCGGCUCAGGCCUGGACGUGACCUCCUGCCAUCUGAUGGGACGCCUCCCUUGACCCCCGCAGAGCGCCAGACACUGAGGAGACGCCACCUUUGGCAGCGCGUCUGCGGUUCCUCGCCGCGAAACCCCCAUCGGCAGGUCUGAGGUAAUUACUCCACCCUCCGGAGUGAC
rnacentral:lncRNA from 1 species